CGCUCGCGCGCGUCCCAGGCUCACUCACGCUAGUCCCUGCCGUGCGCGCGCUGCCUGGGGGGAGAGGCCAUGGGGAUGAGCCAGGAGAGCCCGAGGAUUCUUUUCCUUUGGAGACAGUUACAUUUCUGAACAGGAGUUCAGCAUUGUAUCUCACAAGCUUUUUCUCAAACAAGGUUUUUAAACCUAACCUAACUGUCCAGAGGACGUUUCCAUGCUGAUGACAGGUUCUGUUCGAUAAUGAUCCAAAGCGGUGCGGACUGACGCACGUUCAUUUUCAUCAUCUGAGGCAGAUGCCAC
rnacentral:lncRNA from 1 species